rfam:Gossypium arboreum cultivar AKA8401 contig_47797_1, whole genome shotgun sequence.
ACCUAUUUAAUUCAACGAUUAGAGUAUUGCUUUCAUACGGCGAGAGUCAUUGGUUUAAAUCCAAUAAUAGGUU